UCUCUUUUCUUUAAUUUUCAGGAAUAAUGUGUGAAACCACUUCUACAUAAAUAAAAAGCAUUUGGACUCAAGCUGACCUCUGGCCUGAGGGAAGAAAAUGCUUCCCUCAUUCAUAACAUACUUUGCAUUCAGCCUGUGGCUGUCAUCUUCCCUCAGCAGUGUUGAGAGCUUCCUCCUGCUCUUUAUUCCUCUUUUCCCAAUUGUCUUCAGCCUUCUUCCUGCGCCGUUCACAGUUUGAGUUAGUGGUUCCAGAAACAUUCAACUGUUUAGUACCAAAGCUAAGUGCAACUUUUGGACCCGCAAUCAUACGCAGAGCUUGUUAAAGUGGAAACAAGACAAGGCUUCCCACUGCAGAUCACUGCUAUGACAACUAUGUCAAGACAGGUCUGGGGAGGGAUGUGUCAGGCUUGCAAAGCAAACUACUCGAGAUGGCAGGAAUUCCACCAAGGCAGCAGGCGGAGGCGUUACGUGCCAAACCCUCCAGAAAGAAGCAAAUAAACAUUACAGUCUGACAAAUCUAAGGUUUUGGAAGAUCUUUCUGGGCGAUAUCAACAUGGCUGUCAAGAUGAGACAGACACUCUGAAGAUGCUGUGAUCUUCACAUUGUUUAGUGAGAUUAAAGUGAGGGAAAGAAAAUGGAGCCAGCUGUGUUGUUGAAACAUGUGGCUGUAUGGUGGUAGGUUUGCCUGCCAGCAAUGAAAUGUCCUAUUGCUACACAGAUCAAGAGACAGGAAACACUAACAGCAUCAGUAUGGAAAAUUAAUAAUUUAUCUGCUUCUGCAACACUGAUAACAUAAAGCAUUGCUGUUGUAUGCAUUUUAUGCAACGCGAACUGUACGGAGCUGUGGCAACAGACAGAUACAAUAUAAAACACAAACAUCAUUAGAAAACAUUCCAGCGAUACCGCAGUCUGACACAAUAUCUCUGCUGCUUUCUGACUCCCCUACAGAUUCACAGCAUACCAAAGAACAUGGGCAGAUGUUCUGCAUUAUCACAUGAAGCUACACUUUAGCUCUACCCCGUAAAAGCUGUGCAGAGAUAAUAAGGAGCCCAGUUUUCAGACUGUUUUUUUCCCUCCUGAUCAGAUUUGAAUUAUAGCCUCCAAAGACUGAUAAAAGCAUGGGGGUGUGCUCACAAUUUGACUGGGAAUAUAUUGACAGUAGUGUUAAUUGCACAUUUUAUCCUGAAUUGAUCUAAGAAAAACUAAGAUGUGGAUAACUGUGAGAUAAUUUUUAAAAUACCAGCUAUAAAAAAAGCAAAACACAAGAGCUACAGGGAACAAAUUGGAUAAUUAUAGAAAUCAAACGUAAUAACCAUUUUAGAGGAGAAAUUUAUGUUUUCACUAAGCAGGUGACAGCAUGCAUGAUGAAGCCUGACGGGUGAGGUGAGGGUUAAAGACUUUAAUGUGCACGUGAACAGCUUACCAACUUCUCUGGGGAUGAGUAUCCUUUUAUUACAAUAAAAACUCAUAUUUCAUCAGUAGUGUUGCAGUUUACAUGUUUGCUUUGGAAUCAAAACAGCAUUGACUCAGUCCUGAGAGAAGACAUAAAUCCAACUGGAGUUGUGUUAGGAAAGGCAUCCACCAUUAAAAAAAAAGAAAAUCU